rnacentral:rRNA from 1 species
UACAGAGGGUGCAAGCGUUAAUCGGAAUGACUGGGCGUAAAGGGUGCGUAGGUGGCUUUUUAAGUUAGAUGUGAAAUCCCUGGGCUUAACCUAGGAACUGCAUUUAAUACUGGGAAGCUAGAGUAUGGGAGAGGUAAGUGGAAUUUCCGGUGUAGCGGUGAAAUGCGUAGAUAUCGGAAGGAACACCAGUGGCGAAGGCGGCUUACUGGCCUAAUACUGACACUGAGGCACGAAAGCGUGGGGAGCAAACAGGAUUAGAUACCCUGGUAGUCCACGCCGUAAACGAUGAGAACUAGAUGAUGGGUGCGAUUAAGUACUUAGUAUCGAAGCUAACGCGUUAAGUUCUCCGCCUGGGGAGUACGGUCGCAAGAUUAAA